rnacentral:rRNA from 1 species
UAGGGAAUCUUCCGCAAUGGACGCAAGUCUGACGGAGCAACGCCGCGUGAGUGAAGAAGGAUUUCGGUUCGUAAAACUCUGUUGUUAGAGAAGAACAGCGCAUAGAGUAACUGUUAUGCGUGUGACGGUAUCUAACCAGAAAGCCACGGCUAACUACGUGCCAGCAGCCGCGGUAAUACGUAGGUGGCAAGCGUUGUCCGGAUUUAUUGGGCGUAAAGCGAGCGCAGGCGGUCAAUUAAGUCUGAUGUGAAAGCCCCCGGCUCAACCGGGGAGGGUCAUUGGAAACUGGUUGACUUGAGUGCAGAAGAGGAGAGUGGAAUUCCAUGUGUAGCGGUGGAAUGCGUAGAUAUAUGGAGGAACACCAGUGGCGAAGGCGACUCUCUGGUCUGUAACUGACGCUGAGGCUCGAAAGCGUGGGUAGCAAACAGG